GCUUACCAUGUUCAUCACCAUUAAUCCUUCCAUUUUCAUAUUUCUUUUUCUUAUUUAAAAUAUUUUCUUCGUCCAUAAAAUUACCCAAAAAUAUUUUUCACUUUUUUUAACGUUUUAUUUAAUUUUAUAUAAUUUUUAUUUUCGUAUUUUUUUAUUAUUAAUAUUUUAUUUUAAUUAUUUAUUCUAAAUGGUCCAUUUCAACACACUUAUUUCUAUUGAUUUUAUUUUCAUGACUUAAAAUUAUUUUUAGCUUUUGAUUUUUGGGAUGAAGGUUGACCACUGUCUCAUGGUCAACCUGAC
rnacentral:lncRNA from 1 species